GGUCGUUUAGCUCAGGAGGUUCCCGCUGAGUGCUAAUAACGCGAGGGUCGCAGGUUCGAGCCCUGCAUCGACCA
rnacentral:tRNA from 1 species